CAUCGACGUUAGUCGAGUCCGGAUAAGGCCCGUCCCCCGCCUGACCGGACGCUGCGGCAACCUCAUCCCCCUCUCCGGGUUGUCGCAUUUUGAGUAACGCCGCCGUGGUAUCCCCCUCCGCCACGGCGGCUUUUU
rnacentral:sRNA from 1 species